rnacentral:rRNA from 1 species
AGGAUAAACGCUGGCGGCGUGCCUAACACAUGCAAGUCGAACGCAUUCGAGCAAUCGGAUGAGUGGCGGACGGGUGAGUAACACGUGGGUAACCUACCCUGUGGUGAGGAAUACCGGCGAGAAAUUGCUGACAAUACCGCAUAGGUUUCGAAAGAAACAAAGCUUCGUAAGAGGCGCCACAAGAUGAGCCCGCGCCCGAUUAGCUCGUUGGUGGGGUAAUGGCCUACCAAGGCAACGAUCGGUAGUUGGUCUGAGAGGAUGAUCAGCCACACUGGGAUUGAGAACGGCCCAGACUCCUACGGGAGGCAGCAGUGAGGAAUAUUCCGCAAUGGGGGCAACCCUGACGGAGCAACGCCGCGUGCAGGAAGAAGGUCUGCGGAUCGUAAACUGCUUUUCCGAGGACGAGAACGGACGGUACCGUGGGGAAUAAGUCCCGGCUAACGUACGCGCCAGCAGCCGC